rnacentral:rRNA from 1 species
CCCUUAGAUGUCCUGGGCUGCACGCGCGCUACACUGAUGCAUUCAACGAGUCUAAAACCUGGUCUGAUAGGGCUGGGUAAUCUUUUGAAAGUGCAUCGUGAUUGGGAUAGAUGAUUGCAAUUCUUCAUCUUCAACGAGGAAUGCCUAGUAAACGCAAGUCAUCAGCUUGCAUUGAUUACGUCCCUGCCCUUUGUACACACCGCCCGUCGCUCCUACCGAUUGAAUGAUCCGAUGAAUACCAUGGAUUGAGAGUACGAAUGGGUUCGCUCAUUUCUGCUGCUCGAGAAGUGGAGUAAAUCUUAUCAUUUAGAGGAAGGAGAAGUCGUAACA